GGAAAGGGGAGAAAAUGGCUGCAGUAAUUGUUCAGCUACAGCAGUCGAGCUCCUGGAAAUUUUUCACAAACAGAAUUGCUCCUGCCAGCAGGACCAUUAUUCCAGCCAAUGCAGAGGUAAGACAAAAUGGCUCUGUUUGGCCCUGACCGACACCAGAAACUCUCCCAGAAGCUGAGGAUUCAAAACAGUGGUUCCUGCCUCCUGCUGUUCAUUGAAGUAACCUCCCACCUCCUCCCAUCUUUCCCAUCCAGUCCCACUGCCGAGAUGAGGAUUGUAGCUACUGAUGAAGCCCUAGAGAUAAACAGGAAAUGACUUCUUCUACUGCUGCGUCUGUGUUGUGAAGUUGGGAGCGGUGGCAGCCAUUCUGGAACCAUGAAGGAACUUGGCUAAGGAUGAGCUAACCCACUGAGAAUGGCAGAGUGGAAAGGAGAGAAGAACCUGAGUGCCCACGACACUGUUUAGCCACUAAAUUACCCAAACCC